rnacentral:rRNA from 1 species
GAUGAACGCUAGCGAUAGGCUUAACACAUGCAAGUCGAGGGGCAGCAUGAACAAAGCUUGCUUUGUUUGAUGGCGACCGGCGCACGGGUGCGUAACGCGUGAGCAACUUGCCCGUUUCAGGGGGAUAACCGGUGGAAACGCCGACUAAUACCCCAUGGCAUCAUAUUAAGGCAUCUCCUGAAGUUGAAAGUUCCGGCGGUUUGAGAUGGACAUGCGUUGAUUAGCUAGAUGGUGAGGUAACGGCUCACCAUGGCGACGAUACAUAGGGGGACUGAGAGGUUAACCCCCCANACUGGUACUGAGACACGGACCAGGACUCCUACGGGAGGCAGCAGUGAGGAAUAUUGGUCAAUGGACGCAAGUC